rnacentral:lncRNA from 1 species
GUUUGCUGUUGAAAAAUUUAUUUCUAGCGGAAAACAAAGUUGAUCUCUGGAUUAGAGAGUUUUCAGAGACAUUUAAUUUAUCUCUGACCCAAUGAAUGAAACUCUGGCUCAGAUUUUAAUCUAAGAUAUAGAGUAAUCUCAUUCCUUUCCCUCUCUUGCCUAGUGCAAAUUUUAGCUUUGUGGGGAGUGGGGUACCCACUGGAACUACAACAUGUAUGUAAAGUGUGUUUGCUGUCUACUUGCUGACCAUCCAUUCCCCAGUCCACUACAGCUUUAUGGCCCUUCAUCUUUGGUCUUCUUCAUCUUGGAAACGGACCUGCCCACAUAGCUGUUCGGGUUUGGUUACAUAACUGCUUCCUGAGCUAUAUUGCCAUCACUCUGAGCCAAUCAAGGAUUCUUCAGUGAACACGAUGACACCACAAUGCCAUGCAGCCCAUUCAAGUUAUGGUCAUUUCAAAGUGAGGGCAAUCUUAACCCUUCCACAUUACUGCUUAUCAUGUUGCUUGUCUGAAAUUGCUGCCGUGAAGUUCCUCCAGAUACAGUGGUACCUCGGGUUACAUACGCUUCAGGUUACAUAUGCUUCAGGUUACAGACUCUGCUAGCCCAGAAAUAGUGCUUCAGCUUAAGAACUUUGCUUCAGGAUGAGAACAGAAAUUGUGCUUCGGUGGCACAGCAGCAGCAGGAGGCCCCAUUAGCUAAAGUGGUGCUUCAGGUUAAGAACAGUUUUAGGUUAAGUACGGCCUCCGGAACGAAUUAAGUACUUAACCCGAGGUACCACUGUACUGAACUUUACUGUAUUUCCCAGUAUUUUAAAACAAUUCCUUCUUGCGCAGUCCUUUUUCCUGCUUGCCUUUUCUUUCAUGCAACAGUUUGUGAUGUUCCCAGAGGCUUGGAAAGAGAAGGCUGGACAAAAUACACCUUUUGCCUCACUUGGCUGUUAGGUCGCUCGCUCUUCUUUUUGUUCCUUCGUUUUAUCUUGCAGUUUCUGGGAGAUUCCCACUCCAUGUCCUCAUUUGUGUCCUGUCCACCUGAAAACAGAAUAGUUUUAGCCAACCAGGAAGGAAUUAUGCUCGUAUUUGUAUCGUUGCUAGACUCUGCCUUUGUAGCUUUUAGAUUGCUGAUGAAAUCAUGCAAAUGACAAUUAAUUGCCCCUCAGCAAAAGCACAGAAAUUUGCUAAAGGACCAUCAGUCAAAAAAUCUUAAAGCACAUUAAACCAUGUGGUAAUUCCAAGAGAGAGGGAGGGGGAGGGAGGAAAUACUAUUAUGGGAUUCUGUAAAGGCUGGCAAUGCUUUGAAAUGAAAACUCUGUAUGUUUUGCCUCUUUUAUUUAUGCAGCAGAAGACAGUUUGAAGUUCUGCUAGGGCUGGAACAUGGUAGUGAAUAUUUCAGCUCUGUUUCUGCAAUUGAUUUUGUGAGUAAUUUUCAAAUAUUAAUAAACUUAGUUAAUACACUUCAUAAAAUUUACAGCAUAUGUGCAGUAUGCGGAGACUUGCUGACCUAACGGGGAAACAAAUUCCGAUCCCAACUUUUAAAGUAAUGCAGUUCUUUUACUGCUCUCUGUUAGGUCUGGCAGCUUCUAGAGACUUUAAUUCUUUCAGCGUUUUCUACCUCUGAUAGUUCUCCAGUAACAGACAUUAUCAUGAUGGAAAAUAGGACGGACUUUGUAUAAUUUAUGGCACUGUAGUGAAGAAGAGUUUUUAGUUUGGAAAAAAAUCUUUCAUAUGAAGGAUAAUGCUUCCUCUACCCACCUCAGCAGUUUGUCCUCAUAUUAGUGUCAUGCCAUUCUCUUUCAAACUAUUAGCAAAACUCCAGCUUUAAGAGUUAAGAGUUCUUUCGUGACAUCACAUUUGCCCAGUGUCAUCUUGGAUCUCUCUGCUAUGAAAAAUCACCAGCAUUUUGUGCAAAUUUCUCCUAAUACGCACAUUCUUUGUGCAAUUUUGCUUAAUGUACACUUUUUUGCUAAGCAAUUUCCUCAGUUCAUUUUUGUGUGUUAUUUUCAUGAAUAUAUGCAUUUUAAUGCCUUUUACUCUGGUGUGUGCAAUUUUGUAUGCAUUGCUUGACUGGCGAAGGGCACUGAAAAAUUCAGAAAAUUGCAGAUUUCAAGGUACGGCUGUGUUCCAGUUCAUGUACUGUUUUGAACAGUGCAAAUUAGGUAAGUUUGCUUUUAAAUGCAAACAGAAUCAAAUUUCUCCCCAUCCCUAGUUAAGAUAAAUUAAACGUAUUUUAGAAGGUAAAUCCAUUGACGUGAGUCCAGAGUUUCAGGGAUAUACUACAUAAGUAUAGGGUAUUAAACAGCAUGCUAGUACUAGUUGUACCUCUUAAAAAAAACCCAGCAGGGAAUUCCUGUCUUCCUAUGGCCACAUUGUGGGUGGGAAGGGGUUAACCUUUCCCACCUUUGUCACACAUACCUCAGAAAUCCCCUACCCUGAUGCCUUGUCCACACCCUGAAAUCUUCCUCUGCUGGAGUAGAGAAACACAUGUUCACUUUCAGCGCAGAUAGGUAGAUCAGGAUUGACUGUGGGCAAAGAAAUAAAUAAAUGCAACAAUGAUGGUUUAUCUUUGUUUUGUAAAUGGUGUCUCUUGGUGGUUUCCUGCCCUAUGGUACUGGAUGCUUAGCCUACAAUAGAGAGAGGAGCUGUUAUCUAUCAUGCAGGGAUAGAUAAGCAGCUAAUCUUCCAGCAGCCAAAAACCAAAACCACCCUGAAAAUUUGUUUGUAUUGGAAUUACUUGAAGCUCAAUUACAGCAAUAAGUUGUUUUUCUCCCCCUCAGGUUUCAGCUCUGAACCAAGAGGUGCGUUUAUUCCACAGUGCAAUGUCCAUAGGGUACCAUUAGUUCAGGUUAAGAGAGAACAAGGAAGACUUAUUUGAGAAGAUAAAAUUGGAUGUGACCUUGCAAUUCCAAACAGGAAAGCUCUAAAAUAUCCAGGUAAUUGGAAGUUUGGAUAAACAAAAGUGAGGAUUCCGUAUAGUGACAGAGAUGAAGCAUAUAGGGUGAAAAUGGGCAAUCGAUGAAAGUCUGCCGGUUGGAGUUUGAAUAAUGGAAAUUCCAUGGUAGAUCCUUCCGUUCAAAGCAUUGAUUUAGGGUUGAUAAGCAAAUAACCAUUAAAGCAGUGUACCGUCAUACCUUGGGAUAAAUACGCUUUAGGUUGAGUGCUUUCGGGUUGUGCUUUGCGGCGACCUGGAAGUAACGGAGCGCGUUACUUCCAGGUUUCGCCGCUUGCGCAUGUGCAGACGGUCAAAAUGACGUCACGCGCAUGUGCAGAAGUGGCGAAACGCGACCCGCUCACGCGCAGACGCGCUGUCGCAUCUUACGUUCUGUUCGGGAUGCGAACGGGGCUCCGGAAUGGAUCCUGUUCGCAUCCCGAGGUACCACUGUAGUUGGUUUACUUGCAGUUUGGUAGCCAUGUGUGUGUUUUUUAAUUACAUUGGAGUUUAGAGACUAGAGGUGUGGUGGUGGUGAUGACGACAAUGGCAGCAGCAACAACAACAACAACAACAACAACAACAACAACAACAAAUAUAUUUCUAUCCUGCCUUUCUUGAUACAUAUCCUCCCUAGUCAAUGUACAAAUUCCAAUGCAUUUUUUUAAGCACACAAUAGAAAAAUAAAUAAAACAAGUAGCAACAGUGAUGCAGGAGGCAUCCAGAUAGGGAUGGUUUAAACCAGGGGUGGGGAAAUAUUGUUGGAGAUCAGCCCAACCAGCAUGGCUAAUGCUCAGGCUUGAUGAAAGUUGUAGUCCAACAAGUGGAGGCACACCAGCCAGGCUGCAUCUGGCUUCCCUGGGGUCAGUGCUGCCCCUUCCUCCUCAGCCACGGCUCCCUUUCUAGUGCUUGUGCUGCUCAACUCACCGCCUCCUUUGCCUCAUUGUGGCUUCCUCUUUGACUCUGUGUAUUGCGGGUUGUUUUUUGGCAACCUUUUGAAUUUGGUUUUUUUUUUUAAGAAGAACUUUUAUCAUAAGAAACAAGCAAUACUCCCAAAAUAACAUAUCCAGCAUACACACAUCUAAAUGGAAGAUCCAUGUAUCGCAAUGGUUGAUAACAUCAAAUCCUGAGUGCGGAAGAGUAGUUGUAGUUUUAAAUUGCCCCCCCCUUUUCUCUGACAUUUAGGCCAUCUUCAGGACUAUCCUUAAAAAGUAGCUUCUCGCUACUUCUGACACCAAAUUGUCAGAGAAAUAUCGGGGCCUGGAAUGGCCAACAGAACCUAAACAAGAAUUGUCAGCCAGACAGGACAUCUUUUUCAAAAGCAUUGCAGUGUAGUGAGACCCAAGACCCCAAGUGAGGGAGUGACCCACACCAAGUCUUUCAAACAGCAGUAUUUAGACACUUUUCAAGCAAAGAUGAAGCAAAAGGGUAGUUAUAUCCAUAUAUGGCAAUGCCUCCCUUUACCAGCUGUUACUGGUUUAAUCACGAAGCAUAGCCUUUUCCUUACCUUACCUUUCCCUCCUGCUUUUCUCAAGGUUCUCUUACAAACACAACUUUCACAUUCCAACCUUCACUUGCUCAGCCCUCCUUUCAUGCACUUCAGCUUUUAUCCUGUAAUUUCUCUAACUGUAUCUCCCAGCUGUUACGAAUCUGAAUGAACUGCUUAUGAGUCCCAUAUCUAUGUACAUACCUGACUGGGACUUGCUUCUCACCAUCUCCCCAAUUAACAAAAGGGGUGGGAGAAUCACUCCAAGAGGUUGAAAACCAAAUCUCUUGCCUUUGGGUCUCUUGGUCUUUUGAGUGCCUUAAGGUUACACGUUUGUUUCUCCAUUAUUGCCAUGUCUCAAAGUUUGGUGUACCAGUUCUGGAUAGUCAUUCCAGAAGAAUCCCCACCCCCACCCCCCAGUGCUGUGUGAUAAUCAAAUGUGGUACCACAAGCAAAAAAAACAACCCUAUUCCAGUCCUUAGAAGGUGCUUCUGCAUUAUCAAAAGAAAAACAAGGUGGCAGAAAAGGGGGCCUAGUUUUUGUAUGUAUGCUUGCUCUCUUAACCCACUUCCACUGCAAAUAUGGUUGAGAAGGCUACAGUUAGGACUUUUGGGUGCCACCUGGUUUCUAACCAAUGGAGAGAGAAAGGUUUCCAAACAAAGGAAGGAGGCUAAACACUUUCUGACUGUGGGAUGGGGAUCCUCUGGUCUCUUUACUUUGCAGUGGUAGCGGCAGCAGACCGCUCAGAGCCUGUCUUUUGGUCUCCAAAAAUCAAGAGGCAAAAGGGGCUUUUGGGUGUGAAUGGAUGGAUGGUGUGUGUGGGAGGAUGCAUGUGUGAAACAGAGAACAAAUAGAUGAAUAGGGUGCAAGCUUGUAUGUAUGAGUGGGUGACUGGUGUUUGUGUGUGUUUGGAAAACGAACGGAUGGAUGGCUGAUGAAUGAUUGGGGUGCCUGAGUGUAUCCAAAUUUGUGUGCAAGUGCGUGUGGAUGGAGUAUGAGUGAGUGGGAGAAUGUGGAAUGAUAACAAUAUUGGGAAAGAAAGAGUGGAGUGUAGCUCUGGUCCUGCCCAUCACAGAUCUACUCCUCCAGACAGAUUACGGCCAAAGGAAUCAUCAUAAGAUUCUCCACAAUAAUUGUGAUUGACUCCCCAUGCUCUCUUCCCUCUCCCACUGCCAUUUAUUCAAAAAAUAUUAUUAUUUAAUGAGCAAGGGCUAAUGGUGCGAUUAGCAUUAUGUCUGGUUUGACUCUACAUGGUGGAGAAAUUUAUGGGAAUGUGUGGUACCUCCCCAAAAAAAUUCACUGGUCCUAUUGAAACUCUUGGAGUGCUUCUCCCCCCUCAAAAUUUCCCAGACAUUUUGGUAUAAGCAAAAUCCAGGAGCAAACCAAGCUGUGUUUACAUGAGUCCUCCCUCUCUUGCCUCCAAGUAAUGUUGCUGAAUAUUGAAUUCCCCCUGCCCCCGUAUCUCAAAAGUCCUUAGAUGUGUUUUACUUGAGGAGUUUAGCUUCAGGCUCAGGAGUAAAUAAGGUAGUGGAUACUAAGAGACAUCAAACAACGCUGAAAAACUGUGCAUUAAAAAGCAAUAGCCUGCCGCGAAAGAGACCUAAGUUCAAAUGCAAACUUGUUUCAACAAGAAGGGAGAGGUCUGAGUAGAUUGCAGAGGUGAGACCUACUCCUUCCCUCAUCCCCUCCCACUUCCCUACCGCUUUCCCUGAAGGUCUGAGAACUGAGUCCUUCAGGGAACAUUCUUGCCAUCUAAUUUAUGUAAUAGCCUCAGUAUCAAGUACACUGAGCGGGGUUUCUUUCCUCCCUCCCUCCCCUCAAGUGUACUGAAUUUGAUCUCUCAGCUGGAAGAGAAAAGGCAGAGAUGAAGGCAAACUAAGGGCAUAAGAGGAGCCUGCUGGAUCGAGCCAAUGGCCCUUUGAGUCCAGCAUCUUGUUGUCGCAGGGGCCACCCUGUGGAAAACAGCAGGACCCGAGCAUGAGAGCACCCUCUUCUCCUGUGCAGUCAGAAACAUGACUGCCUCUGACAGUGGAGGCAGAGCAUAGCCAUUAUGGCUAGUAGCCAUUUGUGGCAUUCAUACGGAGACCCUGGUUGUCUCAUGGACUAUUGACCUGUACACCACUAAUUCGCUGCCACCAACCAGGUCCUCUCCGGUAAAUCACUUAGUCUCAGUCAGGUUCUUAAGUUAACAUUGAAGAUUGUUGUUGUUGUUUAGUCGUGUCCGACUCUUCGUGACCCCAUGGACCAGAGCACGCCAGGCACUUCUGUCUUCCACUGCCUCCCGCAGUUUGGUCAAACUCAUGCUGGUAGCUUCACGAACACUAUCCAACCAUCUCGUCCUCUGCCGCCCCCUUCUCCUUGUGCCCUCCAUCUUUCCCAGCAUCAGGGUCUUUUCCAGGGAGUCUUCUCUUCUCAUGAGGUGGCCAAAGUAUUGGAGCCUCAGCUUCCGGAUCUGUCCUUCCAGUGAGCACUCAGGGCUGAUUUCCUUAAGAAUGGAGAGGUUUGAUCUUCUUGCAGUCCAUGGGACUCUCAAGAGUCUCCUCCAGCACCAUAAUUCAAAAGUAUCAAUUCUUCGGCGAUCAGCCUUCUUUAUGGUCCAGCUUUCACUUCCAUACAUAACUACUGGGAAAACCACAGCUUUUACUAUACGGACCUUUGUUGGCAAGGUGAUGUCUCUACUUUUUAAGAUGAAGAUUGUAGUUUAUUGCAAACACAAAUAAACUUUGAAUGCAUUCAAAACACUGUUACCCUUUGCCCUCUUAGUCUUAUUUUAUUCUGUCUCUAACUCUUCUACCUCCCCUCACACAAGAACCAACUGCACUGUCUCUCUAUUUCCAUCUGUCUGCCAACUGCUUUCCCAACUGCCAUUUCCCAACCAACCAACCAACUAACUAACUAAA